rnacentral:tRNA from 1 species
GGGCCUGUAGCUCAGUUGGAUAGAGCGCCUGGCUUCGAACCAGUAGGUCGGGGGUUCGAGUCCCUCCAGGCCCGCCA